rnacentral:rRNA from 1 species
UGAGGAAUAUUGGACAAUGGGCGCAAGCCUGAUCCAGCAAUGCCGCGUGCAGGAUGAAGGCUUUCGGGUUGUAAACUGCUUUUGUACGGAGCGAAAAGGUCUGCCCUAAUACGGUGGGCUCAUGACGGUACCGUAAGAAUAAGCACCGGCUAACUACGUGCCAGCAGCCGCGGUAAUACGUAGGGUGCGAGCGUUAAUCGGAAUUACUGGGCGUAAAGCGUGCGCAGGCGGUUAUAUAAGACAGAUGUGAAAUCCCCGGGCUCAACCUGGGACCUGCAUUUGUGACUGCAUAGCUAGAGUACGGUAGAGGGGGAUGGAAUUCCGCGUGUAGCAGUGAAAUGCGUAGAUAUGCGGAGGAACACCGAUGGCGAAGGCAAUCCCCUGGACCUGUACUGACGCUCAUGCACGAAAGCGUGGGGAGCAAACA